CUUUUGAAGGUAGGAGGAAAAAGAAGCGAGUAUGGAGUACUGAAGGCCAAGUAAAGAGUUUUUCAGGGAGAAAGUGGCCAACUGUGUCUCCUCCUGCUGAUUGACAAGUCAAGUAAGAUGAAGACUAGGAGAUGACCAUUGGAUUUAGUAAUAGGAAGGUCCUUGGUGACCUUGCAAGAGCACUUUCAGGAGAAUAGUGAGGAAGAAAACCUGAUUGGUGUGGUUUCAAGAGACAGCAGGAGGAAGAGCAUUGGAGACUGCAGUAUGGACAGCUCUUUGGAAGAGUAUUUCUACCCAUGGCAAAUUCCACCACACCGUCAAGGCUGAGAAUGGGAAGCUUGUCAUCAAUGGAAAUCCCAUCACCAUCUUCCAGGAGCAAGAUCCUACCAAAAUCAAAUGGGGUGAUGCUGAAGCUGAGUACACCGUGGAGUCCACUGGCAUCUUCAUGACCAUGGAGAAGGCUGGGGCUCACUUAAUGGGGGAGCCAAAAGGGUCAUCAUCUCUACCCCCUCUGCUGAUGCCCCCAUAUUCAUAAUGGGCAUGAUCCCUGAGAAGUCUGAAAACAGCCUCAAGAUCAUCAGCAAUGCCUCCUGUACCACCAACUGCUUAAUCCCCCGGCCAAGCCCAUCCAUGACAACUUUGGCAUUGUGGAAGGACUUGUGACCACAAUCCAUGCUACCACUCCUGCCCAGAAGACUCGAUGGCCUCUGUGGGAAACUGUGGCAUAUGUCUGUGGGGCUCUCCAGAACAUCAUCCCUGCAUCUACUGGUGGUGCCAAGGCUGUGGGCAAGGCCAUCCCCGAGCUGAACAGGAAGCUCACUGGCAUGGCCUUCCGUGUCCUUCUGCAAACGUGUUGGUUGUGGACCUGACCUGCCAUCUGGAGAAACCUGCCAAAUAUGAUGACAUCAAAAAGGUGGUGAAGCAGGCGUUGGAGGGCCCCUCAAGGGCAUCUUGGGCUACACUGAACACCAGGUUGUUUCCUCUGACUUUAACAGUGACACUCACUCUUCCACUUUCGAUGCUGGGGCUGGCAUUGCCCUCAAUGACCACUUUGUCAAGCUCAUUUCCUCGUACAACAGUGAAUUUGGCUACAGCAACAGGGUGGUGGCCCAUAUGGCCUCCAAGGAGUAAGACUGCUCGGCAACCAGCCCCAGUGAGAGCACAAGAGGAAGAAAGAGACCUUCAGCUUCUGGGCAGUCCCUGCCAUGCUCAGUCCCCCACCACACUGGGAAUCUCCCCUCUUCACAGUUUCCAUGCAGACCCUACAAAGAGCUCUAUCUUGUCGUGUACCAUCAAUAAAUUCCUCUGUACUCAAAAAAAAAAA
rnacentral:sRNA from 1 species